CCCUACGGGGCGCAGCAGGCGACACUGUAGAAGGCGCUACCUCCGGAAAUACGGGAAUCGUGGUAGCGGUCCAUGUGACUUUCGGCACUUGGGCGGAAGAAAAUGCGGCAGGCGUCUUGUAUCUGAAGUAUCCUGGUGCGAAUUGGAGCAACUGGACCAACUCCGAGGAUAUCCAGGUAGGCGGGGCCACAAGAGCCGCGACAACUGGAACAGGUGGAGCUCUUGGGCUGACCAGGCAGUAUGCAGAGGCAUACUGCAACAACAUCGGCAGCACUCGGUGGGGCUGUGAGAACAUAUGGACGCUCGAUGCGUUGACGAUGCUCUACUUGGUGGAGUAUGCCAACUGGAAUUCGCAGAGUACUUCUGUCGGAAUUGGCGGGGGGGC
rnacentral:rRNA from 1 species